rnacentral:lncRNA from 1 species
UGGUGAUUGAAAGGAAGAAGUAAUUAAAGGACUAAUGAGCUUGUUGAGCUUUGGCAAGGUUUUAUUAGAAAUGAUAAAGUCAAGCUCAUGUCAUGUGAAGCAUGCAAAAGUAAAGAAAUGACAAGCAAAGAUUGAAUUAAGUGAAAGAGAUAAAGAUAGAAGUGAAAUUGUAUGGUCUCAUUGGUUGUUUGCUUGUAUAAUCAAAAAAAGUUGAAAAAUGCAUGAGGAUUGAUCAAGAUUACAACAAUAAUAUAUG